rnacentral:rRNA from 1 species
AUACAGAGGGUGCAAGCAUUGCCCGGAAUCACUGGGUGUAAAGGGUGCGUAGGCGGGGCUGUAAGUCAGAGGUGAAAGCCCUCGGCUCAACCGGGGAGUUGCCUCUGAUACUGCAGCUCUUGAGUCCCGGAGAGGCCGCUGGAAUUCCUGGUGUAGCGGUGAAAUGCGUAGAUAUCAGGAGGAACACCGGAGGCGAAGGCGGGCGGCUGGACGGGGACUGACGCUGAGGCACGAAAGCGUGGGGAGCAAACAGGAUUAGAAACCCUAGUAGUCC